GGUUCAUUAGUGUAGUGGUGAACACACUAGCUUGUCACGCUAGGAACACGGGUUCAAUUCCCGUAUGAACCG
rnacentral:tRNA from 1 species